GUUUUGGAACAUUUUGUGCUUUAAAGAAAUGGCAUUUCGCUUUUCCUGAAUGAGGAAGGACUGGUUACAUUUCCAUCAGAUUCUGCUCUCCGGCCUUUUGUAAGCUGUGAGAGGGCUGCAUCUUUCCUUCGAGGCACCAAGGAAUAGUGCUGUGUUGUAGGCUGAGGAUGCGCUACUAAAGAUUAGUGAGAAGCUGUAGCUGACAAGAAGAACAGCUGGAUCAUGCAUCUUUCAGGGGGGAAGCACUUGCGCCUUGGUGGCUGAAGGACCGGGCUGGGGAUGGAACCCUGAGCCUCAUGCAUGCUAGGCAAGAAGUCUGCACUAAGCUACAUCCCAGCUCAUCUGUUCUCUGCUCGUUUAAUAGAAUGAUAACCAUUGUGCUUUAUCAAGCCUAGGUCUCUAUCAGGACUUGGGUACAAAGCACAUAUUCAAAACAGCAGGGUCACAGUUGCAUUUGCAUAUGACAGUGAAGUCUUCUCCCAGCUGGCAAACAUCCUCCCGUAAACUAAGAGUUUCUUCAUUUGUCCUACUUAUCUUUUCCUCUCCCUUCCCCCAUUCCAAAUUAUUGUAUUUUCUCAUCAGUGUUUGUAGGUCCAGCUUACUACCCUUGAAGGAUCACAACUAUAGGAAAACCAGAAAAAUAGCUAUGAUGGCACCGUGGGACUUAGAAAUUCACUCUGGGCUGUAUUGGCAUGUGCCUCCCACUACAUUCUCUGCAGACAAA